CUUCCGAGGCGGCGGCGGCGGCGGCGCGGGCGCUCCCCGGCGCGAGCCCACGCGUCCUUCCCCGCGAGGUCCCUGCGCGGCGCGGCCCAGCCCGGCGUCUGUUCCUCCUUUCCGUCACCUGCUGCUCACCUGCCUCACUGAAGCACCCCAGGUGUCGAAGUCACUGAGCCCGAGGAGAUGACGUGACUUCAGGAUGAACGCGGUGCAGCUGGCUGGAUCUGAUUCCUCUCUGCUCCUUCUUCAUUGUUUUAGAAGAAAAAGAAUAGCUUUACUCUCAGAUGUUCAUUGAAGACUUGCUAAACUUAGGAUCCAAGAGCAGGAGAAAACCUUUGCCAAUAAAGUUUUGUAGACAGAAACGCCACACUGAACACUGCCCAUGGCCAAGCCUUUGACUGGAAAGGCUGUCCUGUCCAUGCAGGAGAAAGAAGCCGCGGUCCUUGGAGGCCAAAGCCCUGGAUCCCAACUGAGUCUGUGCAAGGAGCUCGGAGAAGAACAGAGGUGGCAUCAGCAGACAGGUCCACCCUUGUCCUUGGAGGCCGAAGCCCUGGAUCCCAACUGGGUCCGUGCAAGGAGCUCGGAGAAGAACAGAGGUGGCAUCAGCAGACAGGUCCACCCUUGUCCUUGGAGGCCGAAGCCCUGGAUCCCAACUGGGUCCGUGCAACGAGCUCGGAGAAGAACAGAGGUGGCAUCAGCAGACAGGUCCACCCUUGGCCGUGUUGGGAGGUACAUCUUAAAGUUUUGCCAAAGUGCAAUCAGCAUUGAUGUCCAAGGUGUGGGCCCACCUUGAACCGUGUCAGGAGUCCCCCGAGGCACUGAAGGACCCUGAACAGUAAAGAGUGACGAGGACACACGUAUCAACCGGUACUUUCCUUUUUGGGAAUGGAAAACCCGAGUUAAUGUGAACAGCCUUGAAGAUGACGCCGUAUAUGAAUACAUGAAAUAAUAGGAAAGGAGGAAGGAGAAAAUGAAGGAGAAGUCAUAUUUGCUGCUUUUGACCACUGUGCUGUGCCAAGCAGAAAUAUUGAGAACUGGUAACUACUGUUGUUUGUUUUGUUCUGUUCUGUUGUCUUUUUCGGGCUGUGCCCGUGGCAUAUGGGAGUUCCCAGGCUAGGGGUUGGAUUGGAGCUGCAGCCUCCAGCCUACACCACAGCCACAGCAGUCCCAGAUCUGAGCCACAUCUGUGACCUACCCCACAGCUCACGCUGGAUCCUAAACCCACGGAGCACAGCCAGGGAUGGAACCCGAAUCCUCAUGGAUACAAGCUGGGUUGGUAACCCGCUGAGCCACAGCGGGAACUCCAGGGAUGCAGUCUUGAGAGGCAAGAGUGGAGGAGGAAAGAGUACCUCUGAGGUUGUCACAGUCUUAGGGGAGAGCCAGGGGUGAUGUGGGCUCAGGUCAUGGCUGAGGAAGGGCUUUUCAGGUCCAGAAUCGAUCUUGGAGUCAGUGCCAGCAGAUCUUACUAUCGCGUUGGACAUGGGAUGGCAGGAAAAUGAAGGACUCUGGAUUGGGUGGGUGGUGAGGAAGGCUUUGGGUGGCAGAGCGGACCUCACACCAGAUGGGAGAAAGUUGUGAUGACUUAAGGUGCUAUGAACAACUUUAAAUGGGUGCUUCGAAAACUGUAAGCUGCCGGAAAGCACCCUAAACCCUGGGAGGGAGGAGUCAUCACCCGGAAGUCCCCAAAAGCUGAGGAUAGGGACUCAUCUUUGGGGUGUGUAAUUCUGUGUAUAACAUUCUCCACGAUAUCACUGGUCUAUCCCGGUUCAUAGACCACUGUAAUCCAUUAUUAUGUCUAAGCAAUGGUGAAUAACUGCUAUAGAAAAUAAGAAAGGCAGACAAGACUGACGAAGCCUUUAUUUCACUAGUAUUUAAUGUAGCCAGGACACAUUAAUUGAUUUAGCAAUAAUCUUUAUAAAUAUUCUGCCUGGGAGUUCCCAUCGUGGCUCAGCGGAAACGAAUCCAACUAGGAAACAUGAGGUUGCGGGUUCGAUCCCAGGCCUCGCUCAGUGGGUUAAGGAUCCAGCGUUGCUGUGAGCUGUGGUGUAGGUUGCAGACAUGACUCGGAUCUGGCAUUGCUGUGGCUGUGGUGUAGGCCGGCAGCUGCAGCUCUGAUUCGACCCCUAGCCUGGGAACCUCCAUGUGCUGCAGGGGCGGCCCUAAGAAGACAAAAAAGACCAAAAAAAAGUAAAUAAAUAAAUUUUCUACCAAAGAGGUAUGGCAUUAAAUGUCAUUUUACUUUUCUGUCCUCGGUACCUGAUGGACUAUGUUACUGAGUUAUAAUCAAAACGUGAUACCUACGUAUUUUCCUUUAACAACCUGAUAUGAGUAGUGUCAUGUAUCUUUGAAUUUUAAUGGUCAUCUUGUUCUUAAUUUGCUCUCAAAUGGUUCCCCUUAAUUUAUUACUUACGAAUUUUGAAGUAUGAGUUGCAAUCCAGAAUGUUGGAAAUGUUGACAAGUACAACCUACAUGUAUAUAGAAAUUUGAUUAUGUAUCUAUAAAUUGUCUGGUACCUUUCUAUGCUGAGCCAGUUUUGUUUGCUUAGUUGGUUUUGUUUUCGUUUUUGUUUAUUUAAUGCCAGUGGAUUUCUUGCUGAAGGAGGCAGCUUGCGUGUGGCAGAAAGACUCGUAGACUCGUAGUCCUCUUCCUACUUUUAAACUAUUUCCAUGAUCUUGAGCAGGUCUCUUAACUUUCUGGACUUUCAGCUUUUAUGUAUUAAAAAAACAAUAAAAGGAAAUGAUUCUGUAUGAUC
rnacentral:lncRNA from 9 species